UACGGAGGGGGGCUAGCGUUGUUCGGAAUUACUGGGCGUAAAGCGCGCGUAGGCGGCUUUGUAAGUUAGAGGUGAAAGCCCGAAGCUCAACUUCGGAAUUGCCUUUAAGACUGCAUCGCUAGAAUUGUGGAGAGGUAAGUGGAAUUCCGAGUGUAGAGGUGAAAUUCGUAGAUAUUCGGAAGAACACCAGUGGCGAAGGCGACUUACUGGACACAUAUUGACGCUGAGGUGCGAAAGCGUGGGGAGCAAACAGG
rnacentral:rRNA from 1 species